AAGGCUAUAGCUUAAUUGGUAAAGCUAGCUGCUCAUGAUAGCUCAGAUGAAUGUUCGAAUCAUUCUGGCCUUA
rnacentral:tRNA from 1 species